rnacentral:snRNA from 1 species
AUACUUACACCUGGCAGGGGGAAUCAAGGUGAUUUUUCCAGGGCCAGAUUGUCCUCCGAAUGUGCUCACCCCUGUGAUUUCCCCAAAUAUAGGAAACUCAACUGCAAAAUUUGUGGUAGUAGGGGGACUGCUUUAUUAUUCUCCCCUG